GUGACUUGAAAAAUAAUUAAUUAAUUCAAUUUUAAAAAAGUUUUAAGAAUAAACGAAUUGUAAAGGAGUCGCCACCUAAUUUUUGGAAAAACUAGGAAACCAUUUAAGUGAUCUAUGAAAUCAUUAGUUCUAGGUAAGGGAUUCAAGUGAUUCUGAAGGGAAGGUGUUAGACACCCUUUGAAACCCACAAAUUUGGGUCCCAACUGAAUUCAUUUUUUUUUCAAAUUGAGGAGGAAACAAAAUUAUAAACAAAUAUAAUAGGCAUGCAAUAUACACAAAAAAUAAAUUAAAACAAUAAUAAGAAAUGACCUAAGUUUGCCUAUCACUAAUAAUAUAAGCAACAAAUAAAUAAAAUUACAAUUCGAAUAGCUUCGACUGAAAGCGACUCGAUGUACCUGUAAAGACAGUUAGUAAAAGAGUUAGUACUAAAUAAAUAUAAAUAAAAAUGAAUAAGUAAAUAAUAACUUAAAAACAAAAACUCGUCUUAUUAACAUAGGAGGCUUGGAAAUCGGCGUUAAUUUCUUCAUCGGCCAAUUUUGACAAAUAAAAAUAUAAACAUAAACUAAAUUUCCGUCCUUUACAAUGUGAAGGUCUCCAAAAUCGACGGAGAGAUUUUCUCAUUGGCCAUUUUAACAAAUACUUAACACAAAUAUAAAGAGGAAAAGGAAAUGAAAAAUAACAACAUAAACCAGCACUAAUAACAGUAACAUAAUCAACAACCAACAAAAAAAAUUAAGCAAAAGAGAAAUGCAUAACUAUUAACUUAUUCUGAGCAAUUAUAAAUAGAACCAAAUGGUAUAUAUAUUUGAAAAAUAUAAUGAUUUUCAUAAACUAAAAAAAUGCAAUAGAGAUGAAUGAACAAGAAUAAUUUAUCAUGAGUAUAAUAAAACUAGACAAAUAACAAUAACAGUAACAACAUAAAAAAAAGGGAUAAUGCACAAGUAACCCUCAACCUAUGCACAAAAUCUCAGAGACACACUUAUACUAUACAAAGAUCCUAUUAUCCCCUGGAUUUAUUUUAUUAAUAAUUUUUUAUCCCUUUUCGAUCUACGUGGCACUAUCUUGUGGGUCCAACGUUAGUUGACUUUCAUUUUAAAACUCACAUGUAAGCCAAAAAGGGGUAGAAAAUUACUUACAAAAUAAGUUUAGAGGGGUAAUAGGACCUUAAUAUAGUAUAAGUGUGUCUAUGGGAUUUCGGGCAUGAGUUAAGGGCGUACUUGUGCAUUUUCCUUAAAAUAAUAAUCAAUCUCAAAUAAACAUUAUUUAACAAUAAAAAUGAACAAAUAUUUAAGCAUAAAUAAGAACAAACUAACAAUAUUGAAGCAAUAACAAGUAGUAAAGAAAGUAAGAUAAGCAGAGAGAAAAUAUCAAUAAACUCAUGGUGAGGAUAAAAUUUACCUACAAAAUUGAGUCAUCGCCUGUAAAAUUGAAAAUCCGAGCAGAUCUAAAAGCACCCAAGGUGGUCUCUACCUCACUGGUUGUUGUUGUUUCUUCCUGGAUGCCAUUGAAAUAAUGACUGGAGUUUGUUUUGCUCCAUUCGUUGUUGUGCUCGUUGGAUCUUGUCAUGGAUUCCAUGGUGUAGUGAUGAGUUAUGGUUCGUUGAGCGUGUGAAGGGAGGAUGCUAGAGAUGGUUUCUGGCGAAGCUCUGGUGGUGGUUUGACUCUUGUUUCUGGUUGGAGAAGAGAGGGGUCUGGUGGCUGGCCAAUGGUGGCGUUGUGGAGUCUUUCCGGUGACUUUUUCACCGGAAAAAGGAGAAAAACAAAGGGUUUUUUGGGUCUGGUUAUGAGGAGGUCGUUUGGGUAGUUUUGAGUGUCGUGUGUCAGGGUGUUUGGUGGUGGCAGACUGGCUGCUGUUUUAGAGAAGAGCAGUUGGGUUUUGGUGGUUGUUUUGGUCCAAAAAAAUGAGAAAAAGAAAGAGGGGUUGUUGGUGGUUGUUUGGUCGGAGAAAAUGAAAAUGGAGACCAAUAGAGAGAGUAAAGGGAGAGUUGUUUGUUAGUGGUGGGUUGGAGUUUUCAUCGUUGUCGGAGCUUCGAUGAUCAUAAGGAUAGUUAUCAAUAAACUUAAUUCAAUUUAUAUAUAAAAAUCAUUUUAAACUAUUAAAUAGGGAUAAUGUACAAGUACCCCUCAACCUAUGCCCGAAAUCUUAGACAUACUUAUACUAUACUAUGGUCUUAUUACCCCCCUAAACUUAUUUUAUUAAUAAUUUUCUAC
rnacentral:lncRNA from 1 species